AAGAUAUUAGUAAAAUACUAAUUACGCCAUCUUGUCAAGAUGAAAUUACAGGUUGAAACCCUAUAUAUCUUA
rnacentral:tRNA from 1 species